rnacentral:rRNA from 1 species
GAUGAACGCUAGCGGCAGGCCUAAUACAUGCAAGUUGAGGGGUAGUGGUUGCUUGCAACCAUGAGACCGGCGCACGGGUGCGUAACGCGUAUGCAACCUACCUUCAUCUGGGGGAUAGCCCGAAGAAAUUCGGAUUAACACCGCAUAAAAUCACAGUACCGCAUGGUACAAUGAUCAAACAUUCAUGGGAUGGAGAUGGG